rnacentral:rRNA from 1 species
CAGCAGCCGCGGGAACACGGAGGGAGCUAGCGUUGUUCGGAAUUACUGGGCGUAAAGCGCACGUAGGCGGCUUUGUAAGUUAGAGGUGAAAGCCUGGAGCUCAACUCCAGAAUUGCCUUUAAGACUGCAUCGCUUGAAUCCGGGAGAGGUGAGUGGAAUUCCGAGUGUAGAGGUGAAAUUCGUAGAUAUUCGGAAGAACACCAGUGGCGAAGGCGGCUCACUGGACCGGCAUUGACGCUGAGGUGCGAAAGCGUGGGGAGCAAACAGGAUUAGAUACCCCCGUAGUCCCUGUCUCUUAUAC